GGCUGGAAUUCUGCAAUGUAUCUUUCGUCGUAGAGAUGAAAACUUUGUGACGAAAGGUUUAUGCAGCAAUAUAGGAACAGUUUUUUUUUUUGGAUUUUCGAAUAAGGAUAACUAAAUUGCAGUAGCAGUAAGGUAGAAAACCAGAACCUGUUGCAAUUCACGAGGAGAUCAAAGGAUGAUCUACGGUGGUGGAGAUGAUGGUGGAAUUCGGCGACGAUCUUUUAAGCAAUUGUGGGAAUUGCUUUGGGAGGUUGUGGAGGGCUGAUGGAUGGCAAUGGAAGGG
rnacentral:lncRNA from 1 species